rnacentral:lncRNA from 1 species
UAGAAAAUUGCAAAUAAAAAGUUUAAUUUCAGAAACUGAGUUCACCAUUUAUAAAUACACUAAAACAUAGUCAAUGCAAAUCCAGAUUAAUGGUAGGUACAGUAUUUUAACAGAAGGACGACUUCUCUAAAAGUCGUAGGCAAGUGAGAGACCUGUUUCAUCCAGAACAUUUAACUGGCUGGAAAUAAGGAAACGAACCUUUCCUAGAUGUUGAGGCAGAAACUUCGAAGACGUAGUAUUGUUAGGAGAACCUGGUGACUGAUACUGCGUCCCGAUGUCCUGGGUUCUGACACCCGCUGAUGGCUGCAUCUUCCCUGUGAAACAAAAAAGAAAUUCGAACCCCCUAAGGCUAGUCUUACAACCGCAACACGACAAUCGCUUUCCCCGUUAAUAAGCCGCCGCCGCCGCUUCUACAGAGAAGUUUACACAGAAGGUGAUCAAACUGGAGGUCAGUGCACACGUUUCCAGCUGGCUUCACGGCGUGGAGCCACCAGGGAGGGCUUGGAGAGGGGUCAUCGACGGGAUGCUGUAAACGGGUGUGCUGAGCACCGGCCACACGGCGGGCACCGCGGGCACUGCCCGUAAACAGCUGGGAUGUGUCCGGGGCAUCCGAGGGAACACCUGAAAUGGGCGCACGCCCCCGAGUCGCGCAGGACCGGUAGCGUGACGUGCGAGGGAAGGCUUGUCUUCAACGCCACGUCUCCGCUGCAGUGACAGUCACCUCCCAGAUGGCGCUCUGGACUCGAGGCGCGUCAGAGCUGCAGCCGGGAAGGGCGCGGGCAGGAUGGCUUGAACUCCGCCUCCUAUUUACAGAUUGGACUCGACGGCCACAAAAGCUGCUUUGUUGCAAUUAAAGCAAUGUUAAACGACAGUACAGUACCUGAUUGGUGGUUUUUACGUAAUCGAACAAAAAGCCUAGAGAAAAAAACCUGCUUCCAACUCCUCUGCCAUUCCAGUCCAACACCUCACUGACCCCCACCCUACAAACGCGUCACAGUCACGGGUGGACGCCUAGUCAUCGGACUUCAUGAUCGACACGACAGGAGGUUUCUGGCGGACGCCUCAGAAACCGCGCCGCGGUCCCGGGCUCAGGACCGGGAGUAAGGCACGCGUGGGCAGGACGGGGAGGGCUGCGGCCCGAGCGCCGGGCCCGCUGUCCUCGGGGCCCCGGGCGCGCGAGCCACCAGCCGCGGGGCAGUCGCUGCCUCUCGACCGGUGGCUGCACUGCGCGUCUCAGUACUGGAAGGAGAUCAGGGGAAGGUUCACUUUGAGAAAGACGAGCUUCUCGAAAUGCUCCAUCAUGAGCCUGGACGGGCCCAAGCUGCCGCUCUCGGUGGGGGUGCCGAACAGCUUCUCGGCGGGGACGGCGCUCGGCGGGCAGGCCAGGAAGCGGACGGCCAAGGCCGCGAGGCCCGGCCAGGCCGCCCUCUUCAGGCUCCAGUAGGCGAGCGGGUCGCAGCCGUGCUCCAGCACCUCCUCCUCCAGGUACGCGAGCACCGCGUCCUCCGGGAGCCCGGGCUGCCCCCGGGGCUCGGCCUUCUGCACAGUGGCCAUGAGCGACCACAGGCUCUCCUCCCCGGCCCCGGCCCCGGCCCCGGCCCCGGCCCCGGCCCGCGACGGGGACGCCGGGUCGCCGGCGCCGUUGGCGACGGGCGCGGGCCCGGAGGAGGAGUCCAGCGUCUCGAGUUCCCUGAUGAGAUCCUGCUUGUACUGCUCGGCCUCCUCCUGGGAGAAGAGGGAGGCCUUGUACCGCGGGUCCAGCAGCGUGGCCAGCGCGUACCGGGGGUCGUGCAGCGGGGCCGACAGGCGGCUCACCAUGGCCUCCCGCAGCGACGUGAGCAUCGUGUCGACGCCCGUGGUCUCCCCGAAGAGCAUCUCCACGCGCCUGUGCAGGAUGUGGAUCAUGGGGAUGACCUGGCUGAGCGUGGACACGCGGGCGCCCAGCUCCCGGCGCGCGGCGUCGAAGGGCUUCAGGGCGUGGCACACGGACUGCAUGACCUCCCACUGGUCACAGCUGAUGAGCUCGCGGAAGUGGCACUCGACCGACAGCUCGUUGACCGCCCUCUUCUGCUCGAGGAGCCGCUCCAGCAUGUGCAGGGACGUGUCCCACUUGGACGGCACGUCCUGCAGCAGCGGGUGCGCCGGCAGCGCGUACUCCCGCUGCAGCUCGGCCAGCUUGGCCUUGGCCCGUGGCGACCGGUGCACCCGCUCGCAGAUCUUGCGCGCCGUGCUCAGGAGGUUCUGGACCAGCCUCUGGCUCUUGAUGGCCUCGCCGACGAUGAGGCUGACCGUGUGGCUGAAGCACUGCACGCUGGAGCGCGCGCCCUCGUUCAGCGUCCUCCCUAUGCUGGGGUUGUCGGUGACCGUGAUGCCCACCUGCAGGCCGGCCGACGUCACCCAGGCCUCCCACCAGCACUCCAGCUGCUUCUGGACGCUGCUGCCGCUGUAGUCGCAGUCCACCUGGGACACGUCCAGCAGCGCCGAGCAGUGGCGGUCCUGGCGGUGCGGCCGGGCCGACGACUCGAAGGUGACCCAGUGAGCGGUGAGGGUCAGGUACUCCCGCGUCUGGCUGCUCAUCCAGACCCCGGACGUGAAGUGGACCACGCCGCUCUCGGCUUCCUGCAGCUGAGCCAUGACCACGUGUCUCACGCCGUCGUACAUGGCCGGGAUGGCCGUCCUGGAGAAGUAGGACGCGGGCGGCAGGGAGUACUGGGGCCUCAGGUGCCCGAGCAGCCUGCCGAAGCCGACGCUGUCCACCACCGAGUACGGCUGGAGGUCAAGGGCGAUCAUUUCUGCCACGAGACUUGUUAUUUUUUUGGCAGCUGGGUGAGAAUCGGGCAGCUUCUCAGCGGUGUCCUCGCAGGAGGCGGCGCCGGCGGGCUGCAAGCUCAGGGGUGCGGGGAGCCCCGGGGAGGCCGACGGGGCCGGCCUGGGGGCGUCCGGCUUCAGCACGCUGCCGUGGAACCUCUGCAGGUGCCGCAGGAGGCAGCUGGUGCCCAGGUUGGUGGGCUUCUUGCCCCGACUGAUGGUCCGGCCACAGUGCAAGCAAUCCACCUUCGUGGGGUCUGCGGAGCAGACGGAAAAAUGGUUCCACAGCUUCGAGGUCUUUUUGCUGUUGGCGGGAAACAGGCCUUGGCUGUUUUUGGCCGCCGCUGUCGGCAGGUCGGUUACCUUGGAGGCGGUUUCUGCAGAGGCCAGGGUGGCGUAGGGCGAGCCCGCCAAGCCGGCGCCCAGGAAGCCCCGCUGGCCCCCGACCACGGCGGGGUGACGCCGGCAGAGGUGGCGCAUCAGGCAGCUGGUGCCCACGUCGCCACGCCUACCCCGGCUGAUGACGCAGGCGCAGUGGCGGCACACGGCCUUGAGGCUGUCGGUGGGGGCCAGCGAGAAGUGGUGCCACACCUCGGACUUGAGCCUCUUCAUGACCUUCUUGUUCUGCUGGAACACGGCGCCGGGCUCCACCGGGCGGGGGCGCGCGGCGUCGCCCUGCUGCUUCUCGGGGGAGGACGCCAGCGAGGCCUCGCCCCCAUCGGAGGACGAGGACAGGGCGGGCGCGUCUCCCGCCGGCGCAUCCCCGGGGCUCCAGCGCGCAGGCAGCUCCUCCCGCAGUCGAUCGGGGGACGGGGACGCGCACGGGGACUCCGGGACCGGCUUCCCUGGAGAUGCGGGCCCGGAGCUGGGCUCCCCGUCCGGGGGCGGCGGCGGCGGCGGACGCGCUCUCAUUCAUUAGCCGAGGCUUUGUCUGCCCCCGCGCCCCUCCCGCCGCCGCCGCCUCUGCCGCCUCUGCCGCCGCC